CCUACGUGAGGCAGCAGUGAGGAAUAUUGGUCAAUGGACGCAAGUCUGAACCAGCCAUGCCGCGUGCAGGAAGACGGCUCUAUGAGUUGUAAACUGCUUUUGUACGAGGGUAAAUCCCGAUACGUGUAUCGGGUUGAAACUAUCGUACGCAUAAGGAUAGGCUAACUCCGUGCCAGGAGCCGCGGUAAUACGGAGGAUUCAAGCGUUAUCCGGAUUUAUUGGGGUGAAAGGGUGCUGAGGCGGAAUAUCAAGUCAUCGGUAAAAAUUCGGGGUUAAACCCCGUCGUGCCGUUGAAACUGAUGUUCUUGAGUGGGCGAGACGUAUGCGGAAUGCGUGGUGUAGCGGUGAAAUGCAUAGAUAUCACGCAGAACUCCGAUUGCGAAGGCAGCCUACCGGCGCCCAACUGACGCUGAGGCACGAAAGCGUGGGUAUCGAACAGGAUUAGAUACCCCUGUAGUC
rnacentral:rRNA from 1 species